CUGUCUCGCGGCAUUUCUUGCUCUCUAAAUCAAACGCGCCCUGCGUGUGCGAGGAAUCGCAGGAACUUUCCGAGUCGAAUGAUCGAUACAUCAUUUGGGUUUCUGUCCUAUCAGCUUUCGACGGUAGGAUAUUGGCCUACCGUGGCAAUGACGGGUAACGGGGAAUUAGGGUUCGAUUCCGGAGAGGGAGCCUGAGAAAUGGCUACCACGUCUAAGGAUGGCAGCAGGCGCGCAAAUUACCCAAUCCUGACACAGGGAGGUAGUGACAAAAAAUAGCAACUCAAAGCAAACGCUUUGCAGAUUGCAAUGAUAUUCGGCCAAAGCUCGUUUGGAGUAUCAAUUGGAGGGCAAGUCUGGUGCCAGCAGCCGCGGUAAUUCCAGCUCCAAUAGCGUAUAUUAAAGUUGUUGCGGUUAAAAAGCUCGUAGUUGGAUCUAGGAUUAGGGCUACGGUCGUUCAGCUUGGACGUACUGUAUGCCCGACUCCUUUUCUCUAGUAUUCGAUUGUUGCUCUUAAAUGAGUGACUUUAGUUGCUGGAACUUUUACCUUGAAAAAAUUGAAGUGCUCAAAGCAGGUUA
rnacentral:rRNA from 1 species